CCCUUAGAUGUUCGGGGCCGCACGCGCGCUACACUGGCGGAAUCAGCGGGUAUUUCUCCCUUGGUCGGAAGGUCUGGGUAAUCCGCUGAACCUCCUCCGUGAUGGGGAUAGGGAAUUGCAAUUAUUUCCCUUGAACGAGGAAUUCCCAGUAAGCGCGAGUCAUCAGCUCGCGUUGAUUACGUCCCUGCCCUUUGUACACACCGCCCGUCGCUACUACCGAUUGAAUGGUUUAGUGAGAUCCUCGGAUCGGCGGCGUCGGGACGGCCCUGCCGUACCGUUCUGCAUUGUCCGAGAAGACGAUCAAACUUGAUCAUUUAGAGGAAGUAAAAGUCGUAACA
rnacentral:rRNA from 1 species